rnacentral:rRNA from 1 species
AUUGAACGCUAGCGGCAGGCCUCACACAUGCACGUCGAACGCGUGGCGGACGGGUGAGUAAUGUCUGGGAAACUGCCUGAUGGAGGGGGCUAACUACUGGAAACGGUAGCUAAUACCGCAUACCAUCGGAUGUUCCCAGAUGGGAUUAGCUAGGAGGUGGGGUAAAGGCUCCCCUAGGGGACGAUCCCUAGCUGGGAUGAGAGGAUGACCAGCAACACUGGAACUGAGACACGGUACAGACUCCGACGGUAGGCAGCAUUGGGGAAGAUUGCACAAUGGGGGCAAGCCUGAUGCAGCCAUGCCGGGUGUAUGAAGAAGGCCUUCGGGUUGUAAAGUACUUUCAGCGGGGAGGCGUUACCCGCAGAAGAAGCACAGGCUAACUCCGUGCCAGCAGCCGCGGUAAUAC